rnacentral:tRNA from 1 species
GGGGCUGUAUUUUAACCUGGCUAGAAUCGCCGGCUCCAGACCGGCAAAUCAGGGUUCAAAUCCCUGCAGCCCCA